rnacentral:miRNA from 1 species
CCAAACUCUAGGCACUGGCCC